rnacentral:rRNA from 1 species
AGAGCAAAUGGUGGAUGCCUUGGCUAGUAGAGGCGAUGAAAGACGUGCCAGGCUGCGAUAAGUCUCGGGGAGCCGUCAAGGGGCUUUGAUCCGGGAAUUUCUGAAUGGGGCAACCCAGUAUAUAGUGAUAUAUACUACCGCAAUGCGGAGCGAACGUUGGGAAUUGAAACAUCUUAGUACCAACAGGAAGAGAAAUCAAACGAGAUUACGCUAGUAGCGGCGAGCGAAAGCGUAAGAGGGCAAACCACUAGCUUGCUAGUGGGGUUGUAGGACUGCAAUAUAGACUUAAACAAUCUAAUAGAAUAAGUUGGAAAGCUUAAGCAUAGAGGGUGAUACUCCCGUAUAUGAAAGUGCGUUUAUACUUAGCAGUAUCCUGAGUAGGGCGGGACACGUGUAAUCCUGUCUGAAGCUGGGUAGACCACUAUCCAACCCUAAAUACUACUACUAGACCGAUAGUGCACAAGUACCGUGAGGGAAAGGUGAAAAGAACUGAGGUGAUCAGAGUGAAAUAGAACCUGAAACCAUUUGCUUACAAUCAUUCAGAGCCCUAUGAUUUAUCAGGGUGAUGGACUGCCUUUUGCAUAAUGAGCCUGCGAGUUGUGGUGUCUGGCGAGGUUAAGGAAACCCGGAGCCGUAGCGAAAGCGAGUCUUAAUAGGGCGUAUAGUCAGAUGCUGCAGACCCGAAACGAUGUGAUCUAUCCAUGAGCAGGUUGAAACUGGUGUAAGAGCCAGUGGAGGACCGAACAGACGGCCGUUGAAAAGGCUCCUGAUGACUUGUGGAUAGGGGUGAAAGGCCAAUCAAACAUCGUGAUAGCUGGUUCUCUCCGAAAUAUAUUUAGGUAUAGCGUUGUGUAGUAACUUUGUGAGGUAGAGCACUGAAUGGGCUAGGGCAUACACCAAUGUACCAAACCCUAUCAAACUCCGAAUGCGCAAAGUGUAAUCACAGCAGUCAGGCGGCGAGUGAUAAAAUCCGUCGUCGAGAGGGGAACAACCCAGACUAACAGCUAAGGUCCCUAAAUCUCAUUUAAGUGGAAAACGAUGUGGAGUUACUGAAACAACCAGGAGGUUGGCUUAGAAGCAGCCAUCCUUUAAAGAAAGCGUAAUAGCUCACUGGUCUAGUGAUUCUGCGCGGAAAAUAUAACGGGGCUAAAAUGAGUACCGAAGCUUUAGACUUAGUUUUUAACUAAGUGGUAGGAGAGCGUUCUAUUCAGCGUUGAAGGUAUACCGGUAAGGAGUGCUGGAGCGGAUAGAAGUGAGCAUGCAGGCAUGAGUAGCGAUAAAAGGGGUGAGAAUCCCCUUCGCCGUAAACCCAAGGUUUCCUACGCGAUGCUCGUCAUCGUAGGGUUAGUCGGGUCCUAAGCAAAGUCCGAAAGGGGUAUGCGAUGGAAAAUUGGUUAAUAUUCCAAUACCAAUUAUUAUGUGCGAUGGAAGGACGCUUAAAGUUAGUGGAGCUAGCGGAUGGAAGUGCUAGUCUAAGGGCGUAGGUUGAGUUAUAGGCAAAUCCGUAACUCUCUAUCCGAGACCUCAAAGGCUCUUGACGCUCUUCGGAGUAGAUGGAGAAUCCAUGAUACUAUCGAGCCAAGAAAAGUUUCUAAGUUUAGUAAUAAUUGCCCGUACCGUAAACCGACACAGGUGGGUGGGAUGAGUAUUCUAAGGCGCGUGGAAGAACUCUCUUUAAGGAACUCUGCAAAAUAGCACCGUAUCUUCGGUAUAAGGUGUGCCUAACUUUGUAUUAAGAUUUACUCCCAAAGCAAAGAAGGUUACAACAAAGAGUCCCUCCCGACUGUUUACCAUAAACACAGCACUCUGCUAACUCGUAAGAGGAUGUAUAGGGUGUGACGCCUGCCCGGUGCUCGAAGGUUAAUUGAUGGGGUUAGCAUUAGCGAAGCUCUUGAUCGAAGCCCGAGUAAACGGCGGCCGUAACUAUAACGGUCCUAAGGUAGCGAAAUUCCUUGUCGGUUAAAUACCGACCUGCAUGAAUGGCGUAACGAGAUGGGAGCUGUCUCAAAGAGGGAUCCAGUGAAAUUGUAGUGGAGGUGAAAAUUCCUCCUACCCGCGGCAAGACGGAGAGACCCCGUGGACCUUUACUACAGCUUGACACUGCUAUUUGGAUAAAGAUGCGCAGGAUAGGUGGGAGGCUUUGAUCCAUAGACUCUGGUUUAUGGUGAGCCAUUGUUGAGAUACCACUCUUCUUUAUUUGGGUAGCUAACUAGCCUAAGUUAUCCUUAGGUAGGACAAUGUCUGGUGGGUAGUUUGACUGGGGCGGUCGCCUCCCAAAGUGUAACGGAGGCUUACAAAGGUUGGCUCAGAACGGUUGGAAAUCGUUCGUAGAGUAUAAAGGCAUAAGCCAGCUUAACUGCGAGACGUACAUGUCAAGCAGAGACGAAAGUCGGUCUUAGUGAUCCGGUGGUUCUGUGUGGAAGGGCCAUCGCUCAAAGGAUAAAAGGUACCCCGGGGAUAACAGGCUGAUCUCCCCCAAGAGCUCACAUCGACGGGGAGGUUUGGCACCUCGAUGUCGGCUCAUCGCAUCCUGGGGCUGGAGCAGGUCCCAAGGGUAUGGCUGUUCGCCAUUUAAAGCGGUACGCGAGCUGGGUUCAGAACGUCGUGAGACAGUUCGGUCCCUAUCUGCCGUGGGCGUAAGAAGAUUGAGGAGAGUUGACCCUAGUACGAGAGGACCGGGUUGAACCAGCCACUGGUGUAUCAGUUGUUCUGCCAAGAGCAUCGCUGAGUAGCUAAGCUGGGAUGUGAUAAGAGCUGAAAGCAUCUAAGCUCGAAGCCAACUCCAAGAUGAAUCUUCUUUUAAGAGCUCUAGUAGACUACUAGUUUGAUAGGCUGGGUGUGUAAUGGAUGAGAGUCCUUUAGCUGACCAGUACUAAUAGCUCGUUUGCUUAUCUU